GAGAAAAAUAAAAGAAAACCCACCCAGUCCCGCACCUCCCGCGCCGCCCCCUCCCCUCCCCCGUGAACCAGCCACCGGGCCGCCACCGGUCCUAAAUCCGGCCGCCUCCCCGGGACCCGGCCGCCGCGACACCACCUCCCCGGAUCCGGCCACCGGACCGCCUCCUUCCCCCGGAUCCGGCCGGGAUUGAUCCCACCGCCGCCUGCCGCCACCAAGCACUGGCGUGCGACCCCGACGCCGCCUCCCUCCAUGAAGCGCCGGCGCCCGACCCUGUCACCUACCUCUGGUACGCCGUCGCGCCUCCGCUGCCACCUAGGGUGCCCCUGACGUCGCCCAGCUCCUCCUCACGCGACGACCCCCUGCGACGCACGCCUCCUCAUGUUCUGCCCCGGACACGGGCGCCUCCCCGUCCACCCUCCGGCGACCGAAACCAGCUCCGCCCGCCGUAGCAGAGGACAGGCCCCGUUCGUGGCCUCCCCACCCCUCCGCCCGGGUGCGACCUUCCCUGCGCUCUGGCGUGGCCUGCCCUCCCCUCUGGUGUGACCUGCUCUCUGGUACGGCCCGCCCUCCUCCAGCGCGCCUGCACUCUGCUCCGUCGGCGCAACGACCGAGCACCAGACCUCCCUCCUCUCUCCCACUAGGACGGCAGUGCAGCAUGAGACCAUUUCUCAUGUUAGUUUGCAGGAAAAAUAAAAGAAACCGCUUUCUACAUGCAAAAGGGCAUCAAAUUUUGGAAGAAGUAUGGCGUUGAAUGAAAAAAUGAGGAAAAAAAGGAUCCUCAAGCAAAUCAAGCAAUGGAAAUCUUCCUUGGUGGAGCUAGUAAUGCAAAGCUGCAAAGCUUCAGUUUUAUGUAAUCUUGGCUAAAUUGUGAUAAUUUUAUGUUGUUGUGAACCUCUGCUGUAUUGUUAAUAUUGAACUUUUCACAAAGUCCUAUGUUGAAGCUCC